rnacentral:misc_RNA from 1 species
GAUGAAGAACGCAGUGAAAUGCGAUACGUAAUGUGAAUUGCAGAAUUCAGUGAAUCAUCGAGUCUUUGAACGCACAUUGCGCCCCCUGGUAUUCCGGGGGGCAUGCCUGUCCGAGCGUCAUUGCUGCCCUCAAGCACGGCUUGUGUGUUGGGCCUCCGUCCUCCUCCCGGGGGACGGGCCCGAAAGGCAGCGGCGGCACCGCGUACGGUCCUCGAGCGUAUGGGGCUUCGUCACCCGCUCUUGUAGGCCCGGCCGGCGCUUGCCGACACAUCAAUCUUUUUUCCAGGUUGACCUCGGAUCAGGUAGGGAUACCCGCUGAACUUAAGCAUAUCAAUAAGCGGAGGA